rnacentral:rRNA from 1 species
UACGAAGGGGGCUAGCGUUGCUCGGAAUUACUGGGCGUAAAGCGCACGUAGGCGGCUUUCUAAGUCGGGGGUGAAAUCCUGGAGCUCAACUCCAGAACUGCCUUCGAUACUGGAAAGCUCGAGUCCGGGAGAGGUGAGUGGAACUGCGAGUGUAGAGGUGAAAUUCGUAGAUAUUCGCAAGAACACCAGUGGCGAAGGCGGCUGCCUGGGCCUGGCCUGACGCUGAGGCGCGAAAGCGUGGGGAGCAAUCCGG